ACCCCCAAAAGAAAAUCCCCACUCCCCCCGCCGCCGCCGCCGCCGCCGUGCGAGGGAUCUCCGGCGACCGGAGUCCCUGGCCCCUAGGACGCAUCGACCUUCUUCACCUGCGACCUCGCCGGCCUGCCCUGCCUCGCCUGCGGCUAAGCCGGACGGCAGUCACGGUCGCCGCACCGACUAAAGAUACAGGAGCGGAGCAGAGAAGGGGAUGGCAACCGAAGUUGGGGAUGAACGGAAGGGCUUCGGCCUCGGAUCAUAUUGCUCCAGCUCGAAUGUCUCAAGCCGAGGCUCCUCUUUUGCUCCAUCCUCCAUGCUCACCGACAAUCAGGAGGAUCAUAUCCUGUACCAGCUUGUUUAUUCAAUGAUGUUCUGAAUUUCUCGGGUCGAGGCUUCUCUUUCUGCUCCAUCCUCCCCUGUAAAUUUCAGCCACAUUGUUGGGUCAGCUAUCUCAAAGGUUCUAUUUGGAAGUGCAUCCUCGACAAACUUAUGCAAAUCCAAUGAAUCUCUGAACGUGCCUUCUGUUGGCCUCCUUCCGGUAAACAUCUCAAGCAGCAAUAUGCCAAGACUAUAAAUAUCACCAGCUGUUGAGACUACAGAGCCUUCUCCAUACUCUGCAAUUAUGCAAAGGUUUGUGGUUAACAUGCCAUAUUUGAGUGAAAAAGUAAAAUAUAAAGUUAGAAGAAUUUUAGUCACCUGGAGCAACAUAACCAAUGGAACCUCUAAUUCCAGUUAAGCUAUAAGAAGUUUGUGUCCCCUCGCUUGUAUUUUCUUGAAGGAUCCUUGAUAUGCCAAAGUCUCCAACUCGUGCGCUCAUGUCCUCAGCAAGAAGAAUAUUGCUUGGCUUAAGAUCGCAAUGGAUUAUCAAUGUUUGGCAGUAGUUGUGCAGAUAUUCUACUGCGUCCACAAUAUCGAUAGCAAUGUCAAGCCUCUGGACCAUGCUGAGUGUGUUGUUUGUAGUGAGUUCUUGAUAUUUGGGAUGAAGCCAUCCAUCCAAGUUACCAUUGGGCAUGAACUCAAAAACCAGUGCCUUGAACUCUUGACCUUGAUGGUCGAUGCUCGAACAAGAAGUAAUGAUCUUAAUGAGACAACGGUGUCGUAUCCUUCUCAUGGCCUCACACUCAGCCCCAAAACUCUUCGAAUACCUAGAUUGACCAAGAUUAAAAACUUUGACAGCCAAUAUUGUUUCUUCGGUGUCCAAAACACACUUAUAAACUGCACCAUAACUUCCUCUGCCGACCAAGUUGGCUUCUGAAAAUUCGUUAGUUCCUCUCAGUAAUGCAUGAUAGGGGAUUCUUCUGUAAUGGUAAUCAACAACUGAAUCUUUUGCUACUGUCUUCUGGCUUGAUUUGAGCUUCGUACAAAGUAUCCAAACAAGAACAAUCAUUGUAAGUGAGAACAAGAUUGCUCCACCCACUGCUAGAGAAAUUUCAAGAGUCUUUGGCAUCUUUUUUCUCUUCUUGCUUAAGUCCCUUGUGGGGCAUGGAGCCAAAUGAAGUUGAGGUGUACCACCACACAAAUUGACAUUCCCAACAACCGCUAAGUAUAGUUCCUGCAAGUUUCCAAUACUGCGAAGGGCCUCAGGAAUAUUACCAGACAACUUAUUCAUGGUCAAGUUCAGUAUCCUGAGCCCCUUUAUGUUCUUUAGUGACUGAGGCUUGCCGGAAUCGGCCCCUCCAAGUUGCCAUAAUAUGCAGUCAUGAUAACCAACUGCGAAAGGUUCCCCACCGAUGAUGGAAUCACCCCAAAGAUCAUAUUGUCACUCAAGCCUAAGUACUGGAGAGUCGUUGAGAGGUUCACAACAGAACCCGGCAUUUGUCCUCCAAAAGAAUUUUUGGCAAUUUCCAAUCGCUGCAGUUGGCUGCAGUUUGCCAAAGAAGUGAUGAAUUCCCACCCUUCCUUGUCAUUUGCUUCAAGCUCAUUGUCUGCAAAGUACAGGCCUUGUAGAGCUCCCAGCUUCCCCAACGUGGGAGGCACGUACCCACUAAAUCUAUUUUGCGCGAGACUAAGAUGUCUGAGAUCAGACAUAUUGGAUAGUGAUGAUGGGAGGCCUCCAGUGAAGUGAUUAUCACCCAAGCCAAGAACUUUCAUCUUGGGGAACUUGGUUCCGAUAUCAGCUGGAAUGCUUCCGUGCAACAUAUUGAAUUGUACGUCAAAUUGUUCCAUUGAAGACCAGUUGAAUAGAGAAGGCGGGAGCAUACCAGAGAGGUUGUUUCCGAAAAGAACGAAGAUCCGCGUGCUCUGGGUGCUUCCAAACCCCGAUGGGAUUGAGCCAGUAAGCUGGUUUGUGCUGAGUUCGAGAGCUUCCAGACGGGACAGAUUCGCCAGUGAUGCCGGGAUGGGCCCUGUGAAGAUGUUGUUUGUCAGGGAGAGCACAGCCAGGGACGUGAGCUUGACGCCGAGCUCAGCCGGGAUGUGCCCGCCAAGAGUGUUGUUGCCCAGUAGCAUUAUGGUCAUGCCGACACAGGAGCUCAGGUUGGCAGGUAACGUGCCGGAGAAGGAGUUGUCAUUGAGGAUGAGAUUCUUCAGGCGGCGGAGGCUGCCGAGGCUUGCGGGAAUGUCACCGUGGAGCGAGUUGAAGCUCAGGUCAAGUUCCCGCAGGAACGUGAGAUUCCCAAUGGCCGGGGAGAGUGGUCCGGUGAGCCUGGUGCCGUUCAAUAUCAGUGCCACCACCCGUGCCGGCCUUCAAGGGAUGCAGAUCACGCCUUCCCAGCUGCAGAAGCUGGUGCUGCUGUUCCAGGAGGCCAGUGAGCCGCCGUCGUUGAGCUGCGCUUUGAAAGCAAGCAACGCGGCCUCGUCGCUAGCGGUGACCAUGGCGGCCGUCAGGAUGGCUAGAAAUGAGCAUAGCCAGCCCAUGACCCCGUUUGCCAUUGCUAUGCCCCUCUUGGUUCUCUUGGUUUGGUUGGCCGCUCCGUAUAUAAUAUGCUUGUGGCCUCGCCUUGUGCGUGUUGCAAGGGCAGAGCGUCACUGGGCCCUCAUUUCCUGGAAAUAAUACGGAAAACCACUUGGAGACGACCGGAUGUCAAGAGCGCAAGAGGCGUCAGCAAUGGCUGCUAAACAGAGGAAUAAUUAAUGAAGCAGCAUCUUGCCUUAUCACACAAGUGGUCCUGUGCUGCUACUGCAUGUGCCAAGACCCAUGACCAUAGUCUUGCCUUUUCAGACCGAUGACCAUAGCAUAUAAACUCCAUCGUUAUGUUAGCCUUUUAAUCUUGAUUAUGUAUCUGCAUAUGUAGCUUUCGUUAUGCACGUAGUUUAGUCUAGGUGUAGUCAGUGGCUCAGUGUCGCCGUCUGCCGGAGAGCGUGCACGGUGAGAUGCUACUGCCGUGUGAGGCGGCGGAGAUGCUAGGUUUUUUUUUUUGAGGGGUCGGAGAUGCUAGGUGCCGAGUGCCGUGUGAAGCCGACAUAGACGUACGAGACCUGGAGCCCACGGCCCGCAAGGAGUUGCAGCCGAGUGAAUUGCUGACUUCUGUUAAUUUGUUAGUUGCAUGCGACAUGCAAGUCUGUUAGUGCAGCUUGGUCAAGUUUGUUGCCGAGUCACCUUGAUCUGGAGAUAUUCCAGGAAGAGGUGGACGUGCGGCAGUGCAUGGAUUAGUGGGUUAAUGGCCGUGAGUGCCGGCUAGUUAGUGCGUGUGGCAAACCUCUCCUAUGUGUUAUAGGCAUUGCAUUGAAUUAAUGAAAAAGUCUGGCCGUGAGGGCCGAGCACCAAAGAUGUAGCCAAUGUAUUCAUCAAGGAGAGAGUACCUCGGCAAAAAGCUAGAGGCUGGUCUUCUCCUUGGUGUGUGUGUGUGUGUUCUUGUGUUUGAGAGAGAAACAAGAGGAAGAGAGAGCUGUGUGAGGUAGAAGAAGAGCGGCGCUGCGAGAGGCGGCGCCAACAAGUUAGACCUAACUCUCUACGUUUCUGUGAUGUGUCCGUAGAUCAAGAGUAUAAUCCUAUCAUGUGAUUGUAACUGCCACUUUUAUCGGUGUCUGCUCCGGCAAGCCCCCCAACGUUAAGCAUCAGUGCCAUCACCCACGCCAGCAUCUGGUGGCUGCAUCUGUUGCUUUUGCAGCUCCAAAACACGGCGCUGUUUUUCGAGUGCGAGAGCCGGCAUUGCCCGGCCUGCGCUUUGAAAGGAACCAACGCUGCCUCGUCGCUAGCAGUCGCUGUGGCAGUUGACACGCCACAUCAAAGUAAUGAUCCCCAUUGCCCCUCUUGUUUUGGUUGGCAGUAGGGCCUGCUCUCCUCUGUGUAUAUUUUGGUCUUUCUCUUGGUUUGUGAGGCGCGGAUAUUCUGACAAUGUAUGAGAAAAUAGCUAUGUGUA